rnacentral:rRNA from 1 species
UAGGGAAUCUUCCACAAAUGGGCGGCAAGCCUGAUGGAGCAACGCCGCGUGAGUGAAGAAGGUCUUCGGAUCGUAAAACUCUGUUGUUAGAGAAGAACACGAGUGAGAGUAACUGUUCAUUCGAUGACGGUAUCUAACCAGCAAGUCACGGCUAACUACGUGCCAG